GGGAAUAGUAUUCUCACCAGUUCUAUCAAAUGUGACUGACAGACCUGACCUAGAACUGAUUGAGGAUGCUGAUGAUCCAUGAUGUCUAAGUGUGCUCAUUGGACGCCACUGAACAAAGAGGCUUGGAAUGUGAUCACCUGGUUUGAGCUUUGCAAAAUCUGCUGGACCUCCCUUAUCCACUGAUUUGACAAAAACAGGUGCAUCUCCACUCAAAGUAAAACCAAAUCCUGAACCAACUCCUCUUUUAACUCUAACAGUCCUGAAUAUUAAAAUGAAUGAAGACAUAAUAUGCCACAACUGUACAAUGUAACUAUAUGUAGAUGGUACAGUAAUUCAAAGGGAAAUGAAUAAUGGUCAGAACUGGACUCAUCAGGCAAAUGUUCUGGCCAAUAUAAUAUACUGUACAGAAAUUCAUAUGAGGGUCUGACUUGAUUUCUGGUUCCACUCUUACGAAGAUAACCCAAUCUUUUAAAAUCAAGAUCAACAGGCUCAUUGACUCUUAUAAUGAUCAAGCAUCCAUGCAAUCACGUGACAAUGAAUUUCAUCCCAGCCCUAUGACUUGUUGAUUUUACCAUCAUCUAAAUAAAAUCUAAUAUCAACCUGAAUGGCUGAAGUUACAUGUA